UGGGGAAUAUUGGACAAUGGGCGCAAGCCUGAUCCAGCCAUGCCGCGUGAGUGAAGAAGGCCCUAGGGUUGUAAAGCUCUUUCAACGGUGAAGAUGAUGACAGUAGCCGUAGAAGAAGCCCCGGCUAACUCCGUGCCAGCAGCCGCGGUAAUACGGAGGGGGCAAGCGUUGUUCGGAAUUACUGGGCGUAAAGGGCGCGUAGGCGGUCUGUUGCGUCAGGUGUGAAAGCCCCGGGCUCAACCUGGGAGGUGCACUUGAUACGGGCGGACUGGAAUCCGAGAGAGGAUGGUGGAAUUCCCAGUGUAGAGGUGAAAUUCGUAGAUAUUGGGAAGAACACCGAUGGCGAAGGCAGCCAUCUGGCUCGGUAUUGACGCUGAGGCGCGAAAGCGUGGGGAGCAAAACAGGAUUAGAUACCCUGGUAGUCCACGCCGUAAACGAUGUGUGCUAGCCGUCGGUCAGCUUGCUGUUCGGUGGCGCCGCUAACGCAUUAAGCACACCGCCUGGGAGUACGGCCGCAAGGUUAAAACUCAAAUGAAUUGA
rnacentral:rRNA from 1 species